UACGUAGGAUGCGAGCGUUGUCCGGAUUCACUGGGUGUAAAGGGAGCGCAGGCGGGCUUUCAAGUCAGUGGUGAAAUCUCACAGCUCAACUGUGAAAUUGCCGCUGAUACUGUAGGCCUUGAGUACGGAAAAGGGUGAUAGAAUUCAUGGUGUAGCGGUGAAAUGCGUAGAUAUCAUGAAGAAUACCAGUUGCGAAGGCGGUCACCUGGUCCGUUACUGACGCUCAUGCUCGAAAGUGUGGGGAGCAAAC
rnacentral:rRNA from 1 species